AAAUUAUUAUUAUAUUAAAGCACCCGCAGCGAAAUUUUGUCAGCGAUCGCGAAAUCAAAACUCGCACUAAUCUCUAAUAUAUGCUCACUAAACCGAAAAGAAGAUGCCCAAUGGAAAGAUGGCAUGCCGUUUCGUUUUUUUUCUAGUACCUAUACGCGUUACAUAAUACAACAUAAUAAUAAUAUUUAUAAUAUUUAAAACAAGUGAAUUAAACAAUAUCUAAUUGGUGUCUCUUACGUUUU